GGAAUCACAUCAUCUCUGUUGAGGUAGAGAUGUUGUAGGGAAUCACAUCAUCUCUGUUGAGGUAGAGAUGUUGUAGGGAAUCACAUCAUCUCUGUUGAGGUAGAGAUGUUGUAGGGAAUCACAUCAUCUCUAUUAUUAAACAUUGAGGUAGAGAUGUUGUAGGGAAUCACAUCAUCUCUGUUGAGGUAGAGAUGUUGUAGGGAAUCACAUCAUCUCUGGUUGAGAUAGAGAUGUUUUACUGUAGGAAAUCCUGUCAUCUCAAAACUGUAAAAUCUUGCCUCAUUCUGAGUGUUUCACCUCACUGACCUCACUUCCUGCUUACUGACCACACACAGAGAGAAGAGAGGGCUCUUACAGCUGUGACAUCACUCCCUGGUUCUUUAGAGUCCCGUUCCUCUCCCUGCCGCUGCUGCCUCCUGGUUUAGACUUGAUUUUGUUGCGGUUGUCACGGUUCGGUUGUCACGGAUGCGGUUG